GACGAACGCUGGCGGCGUGCCUAACACAUGCAAGUCGUACGGGACCGGGGGCAACUCCGGUUCAGUGGCAGACGGGUGCGUAACACGUGAGGAACUUGUCCGGUGGCGGGGGGAUAGCCGGCCCAACGGCCGGGUAAUACCGCAUACGCUCGUUCGGGGGCAUCCCUGGGCGAGGAAAGCAGCCGCAAGGUUGCGCCGACGGAGGGCCUCGCGACCUAUCAGCUUGUUGGCGGGGUAACGGCCCACCAAGGCACGACGGGUAGCUGGUCUGAGAGGAUGAUCAGCCACAUUGGGACUGAGACACGGCCCAGACUCCUACGGGAGGCAGCAGUGGGGAAUAUUGCGCAAUGGCCGCAAGGACUGACGCAGCGACGCCGCGUGUGGGAUGACGGUC
rnacentral:rRNA from 1 species